AGAGUUUGAUCCUGGCUCAGAACGAACGCUGGCGGCGUGCCUAACACAUGCAAGUCGAGCGAGAAAGUCCCCGCAAGGGGAUGAGUAAAGCGGCGAACGGGUGAGUAACACGUGGGCAACCUACCCUUCAGUCAGGAAUAACCCCGCGAAAGCGGGGCUAAUACCAGAUGACGUCCCUCGGGGGCAUCUUCGGGGGACCAAAGGGGGCGAGCGCAAGCGGCUCCCGCUGAUGGAUGGGCCUGCGGCUGAUUAGCUAGUUGGUAGGGUAACGGCCUACCAAGGCGACGAUCAGUAGCCGACCUGAGAGGGUGACCGGCCACACUGGGACUGAGACACGGCCCAGACUCCUACGGGAGGCAGCAGUGGGGAAUAUUGCGCAAUGGGCGAAAGCCUGACGCAGCGACGCCGCGUGGUGAUGAAGGCCUUCGGGUCGUAAAACCCUGUCGGGUGGAACGAAUCUCCAUCCCGUGAAUAGCGGGAUGGAUUGACGGUACCACCGAAGGAAGCCCCGGCUAACUACGUGCCAGCAGCCGCGGUAAUACGUAGGGGGCGAGCGUUGUUCGGAUUUACUGGGCGUAAAGAGCGCGUAGGUGGUCCGAUAAGUCGGAGGUGAAAGCCCUCGGCUCAACCGAGGAUCCGCGUCCGAUACUGUCGGACUUGAGUGCAGGAGAGGAGAGCGGAAUUCCCAGUGUAGCGGUGAAAUGCGUAGAUAUUGGGAGGAACACCGGUGGCGAAGGCGGCUCUCUGGACUGUUACUGACACUGAGGCGCGAAAGCUAGGGGAGCAAACGGGAUUAGAUACCCCGGUAGUCCUAGCCGUAAACGAUGGGCACUAGGUGUGGGAGGUAUCGACCCCUUCCGUGCCGCAGCUAACGCAUUAAGUGCCCCGCCUGGGGAGUACGGCCGCAAGGUUGAAACUCAAAGGAAUUGACGG
rnacentral:rRNA from 1 species